UGGUGUAUGGGCUGCACUCACUCUCUCUGGCUGUUUUGUGUGUCCCGAUCUGACAGCCCACAUGCCUCUGCUGCACGCCUUGGCCACAGGACACAGAGCACUGAGAAGACACAGGAUGGUCAUGGUUCUCUAAUCAUCAAGAAGUCUGGAAACAACCCUGGUGUCCAUGUCUGAUUAAGAAGGGCUGGAUACCAAAAGAGAAUGAAUUCUCCUGGCUGUGCCAUUGUUGAGGAUAUGGACUUCCUCGUGAUGAUGGAGUUCUAUACAGAUGUGGCAAGUUCAUCAUAAAGAACCCAGAAGGAAGAAGAGGGGAAAGUGAAGGUAGAGAAUAAUGAUGGAAAGACCAAGAGAAUGUCAUGUACUGGGGCCGAUUAGCAGCAAAGAGAGACUAUUGUAGGCGACCUUGGCAGUCAGAAGGCUAACAUCAUUCUGAGGAGAGUGAUGAGGGUGUAAGGACCUACUCUGCCUACAGUGCAAGUACCUAUGAAAACAGCUGCAAGGAAAAGAGGGUAGUGGGUGAGACACAAGCUCCAGAAUCCGCACUCUUGGAUAGUCCAAUGUACUACUCUAAAAUUUAUUGAAGAGGAUAUCCAAAGACUAAGGAAGAAGGAUACAGUUUGGAUGAAUGGAGUUGACACAUGCCACAAGAGGUCUUGCCACUACAGCAGAUUAUAGCGACAUGUGAUGUGGUGUCACAGUGGUCCCCUCACGGACAGCAAAAAGACUGGCACCAACACAGACACGCUCAAGAAGGUUAGCUAUGGCUAUCAUCAUCUACGUGGCAAUGCUAUUGUUGACACAUCUUUAUAAACCUCUAACUCAUCCCAGUAUCCCCCUCCCCCCCACUGCUCCUUAUUUCGGAUCUUCUGUGUGGUCAGCACCACUAUAAACUAUGGGAUGAAAUGGAGGCUGGAACAAGGCCUUAUCACCUGGAUAUAGACUUUUGCAAAGGGAAAGCUGUCUUGGAACUUCCACCUUCAUUGCUAUAAUAUUUAUUUUUCUUUAAUAAUAAUUCCUCUUUGAAGCAUACUGAAGGUGAGCAAAUGAAAGUGAUAGACGGAAGGCGUCUGCAGUUGUCUGAGCAGAGACCCAGGUGGACUCCAUGUGCACACACUGGUGCUUUGCCUUAGAAUCUUCUCUUCUAGCCACCUUUUUCUGUCUUCCAGGUAUGCUUUCCCAUUAUCUUCCAAUUCAGUAAACAGAGCUCUCUGACUUCGUCAUUGAAACUCAACAAAUCAAGACAACAUUAUUAGAGAAGAAAAAGCUACCCAACACAAUGUUAAGCCUCACAAAUUUUUGUUUGUAGAACUCGUCAUCAUUUCUGAUUCAGAAUUCUUUUAAAGUAACCUUUCAAAACUCACACUUUAGCCUAGUCAAUGACAUGAAGUUUAAUACAUGGCUACUCAGAGUUAGGGAGAGGGUGAUAGAGAGAGUUUACAAAAUUAAAAUAUGUGUGUAUAUAUAUAUAUUUUUAAUGAAAGGAAACAUACAUUCACUUCUAAUUCACAUAGCCUAUUUGCCUUCAUAGCUGGCUCACACACACUAGUUUUUAAACAUUGCUUAUGAAAUUAAAUAACAUGGAAAAAUAAAUAUGCUUUAUUAUAUAAAGACAUAUAAAUCUGUACCACUCAAAACAUUCAGACAUACGUAAAUGUGGCUGACUAAAACUAUUUUCAGAAAAUACGGUUGUGAUAUUUAUAUUCUUUUUUUUCUGUGAUAUAAUGAAGUUGUAAAACACUGAUGUCAGACAUUUUCUCUCUCUGCCUAUAGAAGCUGCACAGUGUGAUAGGAAAAUGAGGUAGACACAAGUACUGAAGUUUGCCAGGCUGAACCAAAAGCAUCGCUCCCUUGCAAGCGCAUAACCUCUCAUCAUUCAGGUCCAGAAGCACAGAUCUCAAAGGCUCAGAGAACCCUUUUCGAGUUGUCAUGGAAACACCCAAACAAGCAAUUUCUGUAGAGAAGAACCGCCAUCUACAAGAUGAUCAGUGAACAGAAACACAGGGCAAUGCAAAAAGAAAUGCCACCAGACUGCCCUGGGAAUGUGGCGGUGACAGUGACGUGACUUUCUUCCUCUAGAUGGAUUUGCUCAGUCUAGAAUGUUCCUGAUUUGCAAGACAUUUCUUACUUCACCUUGACAAUAUAGGGUUCUAUAUUGUCCAAUUUGUCCCCAUUUUUUCAUGGCAUAGGUGUAUUGAUUACCCAAUGUGCUUUUAGGAUUGGCUCAAUAGUUCAAGAGAGCUGAAGAACACUGUUUCACAAACAAAGGUCCAGGGACAUUAUUUUUUAAAGUCCAGAAAAGAAAAUUUUCUGGUAUGUUUUUCUCAAGCAAGAUUUUUUUUUUCUUUUCUUGUUUUUUGAGACAGAGUCUUACAUGUAGCUCUGGCUGGCCUGGAACUCAUGGCCCCAAACUAUAGGUGAUCCUCCUGACUCAGUCUCCUGAGUGCUGGGUCACUGGUGUGAGUUACUGCAACCAGUGUUACAAAAAUGAGUCAUAGCUCUGCAGUGACUCGAACCAGAACCAAUGGUCUCUCUGAAAGGGUUGUUUGAAUAUUAAAUUCAAAGAAGUUCAAUUGUGGAGACUUUGGAAGUUGUGGCAACAGUGAUUUGGGGUUUCUUUCUCAAAUACUCCUCCUUCAUAGGCAGUGGUGACGUAAGCUGUCUCCACUUGACCUUGGCUGUAUCACACAGCAGUUGUUGCUUUGUGAUAUGACAGCGUCUAUGUGUGGGAGUCCCUGGGAGCCAAAGCAACCAGCUGGAGGAGUCAUGGCCAUCCUGGCCUCUAGUCAGUCUAAGCUGCUUUCUAUCGGAAGCAAGAUGUUAGCACCUCAAAUGCACUUUUCUCUUUUGUACACUUGUUAACGUUACUGUAGGUCCAAUGGUAAAGCACCAUAAAAAAGAGUUCAUGGCUAGAAACAGGAGUCAUUGAGGUAUGCUGAAAUGUAGAAGUCCUAAGACAUUAUACCAAAGCAUCCAUGUAAAUAAACAUAAAAUAAUCAAAAUCAAAAUCCUAGAGUCUGAAUGAUUGCUCGCUCACAUGCACAUAAAAUCAAUAUAUUUAAAUUGCCUAUCUACUUAAACAAAAUUCUUUUGAUUUGGUUCUUUUAAAAAAAAAUCACAGUUUAAAAGCCUUGCAAAAGUGACCUUUCUCUUAAGACAAUAGAAGAAUUGAAGUCUGAAAGUCAAACUAACAUUCGCUUUCUGAGAUCACACAGGCAGCAAAGCCAGCCUUGAAAUCCAUGUCUGCAGAUGCCAGGGCACAGAACUUCUGCUCGCCUUCCUGCCUCUCUGAUAGUUUAGAAAACUGUAUGUAGCCCCAAGAAGAACAGCGAUAUUAAAUAUACCCUAUGUUUUCAGUUAAAACAAUCAGCAGCCUAUAUUUAAAGAUUUAAGCUAUUAAAUUAUCAAUGGGGGAAUAUAUUGAGAGAAUGUUCCAGAAAAAGAAACUAGCAUAUAUAUGUAUGUACAUACACAUACAUAUGCGUACAUAUAUAUACAUAUAUA